GCUUGUCUCAAAGAUUAAGCCAUGCAUGUCUUAGUGUAAAUAACUCUUAUGAAACUGCGAAUGGCUCAUUAAAUCAGUUAUCGUUUAUUUGAUGGUCCUUGCUACUUGGAUAACCGUAGUAAUUCUAGAGCUAAUACAUGCAUCAAACCAGCAAUGGUUGUAUUUAUUAGAUUGAAACCGAUGCGGGGUAACCCGGAUUUUGGUGAUUCAUAAUAACUUUCGGAGCGAGUAAUCGCUGCAUCAUUCAAGUUUCUGCCCUAUCAGCUUUGGAUGGUAGGGUAUUGGCCUACCAUGGCUUUAACGGGUAACGGAGAAUUAGGGUUCGAUUCCGGAGAGGGAGCCUGAGAAAUGGCUACCACAUCCAAGGAAGGCAGCAGG
rnacentral:rRNA from 1 species